rnacentral:lncRNA from 1 species
AAAGAGGUAUACAAAUAUCGAAAUUCCACCGUCAAAUUUAUUGGACAAAAGGGCUAAUUAAGCCUUGGGUUAAAAGGAGUACUAAACUUCUGGGAGGGGGAGGGGAAUUAUACGUUGUCUGAUUCUCUAUGAACUUAUUCCAGCAGCAAAAUGGUGAUAGAAAAUUGUUUCUAGUUUGUGGAAUCUCUAUUCUGCCAAUACCCAGAAGUCAAACUAACUGGAUAGAGAUCAGCAGCAGAUGUUGAAGAAGUGGUCCAUGGCGCAUCACCUAACAUACUCUUUGUCUGGCUAAUAUCUGCAUCAUCAUCAUCUUCAAGUUUCCUAUGCAGCUUUUUCAUAGUUUCAACAUUCUUUUGACGACUUGAAGGGGACAUUGAAUCUGUGCAGUAUUCCUGAACUUCGGCCUUGCCUUCAAGCAUGCUCACCACUGAAGACAUUGGAGGUCUAGCUGAAGCAGUGGGAUUUGUGCAUAAUAGAGCAACAUUUAUCAUUGUCAUCACCUCGUUUUUGUCGCAAUCCGAGCCCAAUCCUUGUAUCGACAAAUUCCAACAAGUUCCCAUUCUCCUUCAAAAAAGAGCCUAGAAUGAAACACAAAAUUUUAAUUGCACAUCAGUUCAUUUCAUAAUACAUAUGACGCUCAAACUCACUAAUGCAUAAGCUUUCUUUGUCAUGUGUAUAAGGUAGUUUUGUCUGGCAUAUGUAAAAAUGUUCUUGACAUUUGAUGCAUACUGUGUGUUGAAUACGGACACUGAAUAUAUGUUGAACACGUGUUGGAAACAAAUACUUUAGAAAAAUACGAGGUGGGAGCAACGCAAUAGCACACAUAGUAUGAAGAUGCAUAAUGAAGAAAUAAUGAGAACUAAUUUACCAAUUCAAGGAGAAUGAAAGGUUCUUUGCUUUGGGCGAAUUCUAGUGUUGCACCCUCCCACUAACCAAUUUCAAGUGCCACUAUCCCAAAACUAUAAAACAUCCGCUUUCUCUGUCAAAUGGCCAUGCAAUGCAUACUCAGGAGCACAUAUAGCCACUGGAAAUUUAACAUCGUCAAUUAAAUACAGCUUUUUAUAGGUUAACAUCAAUCAAUAGUGAGAAUGAAUCUGAAAAGAGACUUACUAAGUUCCUGCAAUUCGGGUGCUAAUGUGGGUAUUAUCUUCUUCAUCAAGCUUAGCCAACCAAAGUCGGAUAUUUUAGGGUUUAGAUUCUUAUCAAGCAACACAUUGGUGGCCUUGAUGUCUCUAUGCACAAUCUUCAACCUUGAUUCUUCAUGGAGGUAAGCUAAUCCUCUUGCUAUACCAAUGCAGAUCUUCUUUCUUGUUGGCCAGUCUAAUAUCGACUGAGAUUCUUGUGGCCCUUUUCAUUGUCAAAAUAAAAAGAGUAGCUCAGUUAUAUGUAUUCACAUACUUCUCAUUCAUGUUAGAACAUGUAGACAUUGGAUGAGGUUUGUACCAAACAAUGCACGAGCAAGGCUGUUGUUUUCCAGAUACUCGUAUAUAAGCAUCAGCUGGUUUCCUUCAAUGCAACAUCCAUACAACUUUACAAGAUGAGGGUGUUGUAGAGCUGAAAUCAUGCCAAUCUCAGUCACAAACUCACGGUUUCCUUGCUUCGAUCGAGCUGAUAGCUGCUUAACAGCAACCAUCGUGCCUUCUGCCAGAGUGCCCUGCGUUUGAAAAAAAAAAAAAACCAUGAUUACCAGGUUCCAUUAUGAACAAUUUACCUGCAGAAAGUGUGCACAUGAUUACCUUGUAGACGGACCAAAACCACCUUCUCCAAUCUUAUUAGAAGCAUGAAAAUCGUUUGUAGCAGCUUUAAUUUGCCUUAAGGUAAAGGAAGUUGUCUGCAACUCUAUACCUUUUAGAUCUGUGGAACAUGUUAAACCUAUUAUAAGAAAGAUUUAUAAUAUCAUUUGAAUUGGACUUAUCGACACUACAUAUGUUCACUAUUUUGUGCCAAAAUCGUGAAAAAAAGGAAUGACCGGGUUUAAAUUGCGAUCACAAACGUGUUUUCAGUCGCAUAACAUAUGAUAUCAGGAUCAAUUUUGAUGAGUAUCAAUAGAAAAAAGAACUGAAAACCGCAUGAAUAAAGACGGUGCAACUGUUGUAUGAAACAGAGUAUAAUGAUAUUCCGUCUAAAUACCUUGUUCCAAUGUACUCUUCCGUCUUAAACAGCCAUUCCACCAAAGGAUGCCUAAAAUCAGUAAAGCAGCAAACACUACUCCGGCCACAAUACCGACCACUGCAGCUGCUGAGAUACUGCCAGGUUUAUAUUCUGGUUCAACAACAUUAUAUAUAAGUAAGUUGCAACGAUGACAUGAACAUCUUAGUCGAAAGCAUAAUAUAUUAGAUGUGACGUAUCAACAAACGAAAGAACAGAGAUAUGGCCUAGAGAUCUGUCUAUCAGUCGAUCUUGAGGCUUAGUCCAGUUAAUAUAUAAAACCACUUCUAAGAGACGAUGCGAGGUCCGAAUCCUAGUAUCUUCUUCUGCAAUUAACUGGGAAUGAUAAGAGAAAUGAAUUGAAAACCUACUAGGAUCAAAAAUGGAUAUUGCUGAUAUUAGAGGGCCGUAAAUGCCUCUCUCGGGUAUAGAAGUUGUCCCUUUUCCGGUCCAUCGGAAACGAAUCUCUAAAGUGCCAUCGGUUACAUUUGCAUUGAUUGGUUCUACUGUUGGUAUGCCUGCCCCUCCUGUUUUUUCUUUAAUAUUGAAAUCCUUCAGCACCCGCUCUCCCUGCAAUUAUUAUCCGUUCCAUUUAACCUUACUUUCCGUGCAAGCACAUGUUGUAAAGCAACAUUUGUGUAUAUUUAUAUCGAAAAUCCAACACUCAUCCAAAUCAGGAUAACAUGUAAACCAAUUAAGCUAAACCAAAUUCUAACCUAUGGAACUUAGUGGUAACAAGAAUGAUACUAAAAAUAUACCUGAAUGUAAACAUCAAAUAUGCGUCUCCCCAAGCUGCUAUAAUUUCGAUCAUUAGUGAACUGAAUCUCAGCGAAAUGGAGGUUUACUAAGUAAGUUGCAUUGGCGAGACAGAAUACAUAGUAAGUCAAAGAGCUAGGCGCAAGCCUUGCAUUUUUGUAGAGUUGUUCAUCACGACCAUUGACAGAAACUUGUCCAUUGUCAAAAAAAUAGUUGUCGUCGGUGUUGUCAUUGCCUAGAAAAAUUCCGGUGCUGCUAAAUGCCCAGUUGGUACUUCUGUAAAAUGUCGAAGGCCCGGCUUGAUCGAUAUCGGCUUCGUAAGUGGUGCCAUUAACAGUUAUUUCUCUCCCUCCACAAUUUAUAUGGACAAAGUGCAAAGCUGAGGAAAAUAACAAUCAACAACAGUUUGAAUAAAAUAAUUGAGUUAUAUUAUUAGUGCAUCAAAUAUAAAUACUUACGUUCUGAUGAGCAGAUGUCAACGUCUUGGUUUGUCAAACAUGGAACAAUUCCCCUGAUAAAACAAUUAUAAAGUUAGAUGAAAGACAAAGACUUAGUUUAAUGAUUAUUGUUAUCUUAAAACUUACGUGUUAUUGAGUCUUGCAAUGCUUGCGAACAAGUUCCUGCAGAUCCACAAUGAACCACAAUUAUAUAUAUACAACCAUUUACAACAAAGAUCCACUAAUGGAGUUAGAUGAGAAACUUUACACGGUUUUACUUAUUUGACAGCUUGAUUCACUUGUGUCAUUGAAGUUGUUGUAUGAAAGAUCCCUGCAAAUAGAAUAGUUUAGAAUAUUAUUUUCAUUAAAAGUCUGCAGGUAUACUCAUAAAUAUCUCUAUUAAAAGCUUGAUAUCGGCAACAAGUCUAUUAAAGCUGAGAUUAGUAUUCAAAAUUAAAUAAGAAGUGAAUCUUACACUUUUUCGUUUGUUUUCUGUAACCAUUGAGGGACUGAUCCAGUAAAAUUGUUUCCAUUUAAGAACCUCAUGAAAAGAAAUCAUCAAGUUGUUUUUUUAUUUCCAUUUGACCCAAAUGAGUAUAUAAAUAAAAGAAAAUGUAGUUGACACUACAACUAAAAACCAUAUUCUUACAAAUUAUCGAAAUUAAGGCCAGAAAGCUGAUUUGGAAUUUCUCCAGUGAGUCUAUUAAAGCUGAGAUCUCUACAAGAAAAUUUAUAAAAAUGAUAUUAAACCAGACGUCAUCUUAUAAAAUAUUUCAAUCUAACUCUUGAAUAAUCAAAAGUACAAAUAAGAUAGAUGCAUCAAAAUUCACAAGUAAUUAUGUCCUAAUACAAGUUAGAAAUGAAAGAAGGAGGUUGCAAAUUUUGAAAUUCUAUUUCUACCAUCAGACUGAACUUGAACCUCUCAAAAACCGGGUAUUUUAGUAUUAGAAAAGAAAGUGUGUAAUUACUUACAAUAUCUUUAUGGAUGUAAAUGUCCCAAAAGAAGCAGGUAUCUCUCCAAUGAGAUUGCAACUCCUCAUCAUCCUGUAAUUCAAUCACAAAAUAAUUCCAUUAUUCUUUUAGAACUCCACAAUAUCUCAUAACUUCCAAAAAUCUUUGCUUUAUUCCAGAGUUCAUGCUUACAAUCUAUCCAAUUUAGGCAAAGUGGCAUCGAUGACCAAUUGUGUAAAAUUUGUUUCAGCUCCAUUCAAGUCACUAAUUAUUCUGUACAACAAUAUCAAGAACCAUAUACAAACAUAAAUAAGAAUUUAAAUUGUCUUUAUUUUUAUAUAACGAAUAUUGUCACCAUCUUUUAAGAUUAUUAUAGCUUACAUGUAUGUUAAGUUAAGUAAAGUAGCAUUAAUGGAUGGAAUUGGUCCACUCAAACCACUUCCCUCAAUAUAUCUGUCAUUACAAAAAUGAUAGAUUCAUUUAAUUGAUUGAUAAAACAAAAAUUCUAAUGAAUUAAAAAAACUUAAAGUAUAUAAAGAAAAUGUUAAAUUAAAUUCUCACAUCUUUUCAAGAUUUGUCCAAUUUCGGAAUAUGAAGUCAGGAAUUUGUCCUGUAAAAUUGUUGUCACUAAUCCGACUGUUGAGAAUACAAAAUUAUCAAAACUAUAUCAUAUAAAAUAUAUUGAAAAAUACGAAUGAUAUGUAUUAAAAGGAACACUAGAAAAUAGAAUUGCUUACAAUUCCUUCAAUGAAGUCAGACUAGCAAAGGUUUCAGGUAUUGUCCCAGUAAAAUAGUUGGAACCAAGAUGUCUGAAAAAACCAGUAAAUAGAUCUUAAAUCAUUUACAUGAUAAAAAUACUACAUAUAUAUAAUGAAAUGCAUUUCAUCUAGAAAUUUUUUUUCUUUUAAAAAAGGAAGGGUCUCUCUUACAAUUUCUCAAUUUUGGGUAGAUCCCUCAGCGCUGCAGGCAAAGUUCCUGAAAGACCAUUGUUCUCAAGGACUCUACGCAAUGUUUUUUCAAUAAAUAAAAUUAAUUAUCCAUUAGACGUUUAUUAAAAAAUGAAAAACAAUAUCAUUCAUAUAUAUACAUUCGAAGUUGCUAUAAUCUAACUCACAAGCUGGUGAGAUUUCUGAGAUUUGCUAGCUCUUCUGGGAUUGAACCAGUUAAUCGAUUUCCUAGAAGGGAACUGAAAUACAAUAAAUCUUUCGCAUUUAGAAACAUUAUAUAUAUUCAUUAUCUUAUUCGCUCCUUUAUGCAUAUGAAAUUAUAUAUAAAGUUCUCAAUGGGAUUUAUGUUAUAUUUGCCAUUGAGUUAUUGUUUUACAUAUGCAUGGUAGUCAAAGAAAUUUAUUAUAAUUAAAAUGCUUUAAUAUUUUCGACUUAAUACUUAUAUUUUAGAAAUAUAUAAUUUUAAAAUAAGAUAGUGAAUAUUAUAGUUAAUUUAUUUUAAUGAAAUUCAAUAAUUUAGAUCAUUGUGAAAGUGACCUAAAUUGUUAACUAUUAUCGUCGUAAAUUACAUAAAAGAUUAAAUAUAUAGUAGUCUUGAUUUUGGUUUUAAAAUGGAGAAUCGUACUAGCUUAAAAGGGUAGUCACUUACUAUUAAUUGUAUUUCUUUCUAUUUUUUUGUGUAAUGAAUAUUUAUAGGUAACAUGUAGGUAGCGCAAAAAUGUUAGGCUUAAAUGUAAUACCAAUACAUAUAAUGAGUGAAUACUUGAUAUUUUGGAGUUUACCCAAAGGAAAACUUAGGUGAUAUCAUUAAGCGAGGAUUAUACAGUUCCUAUUACCUUAGAUUCUCUUGCAUCUGGAAUGAUGAUUUUUAAUGGAUUGAAUUUCUUAUAAUGGUAUUAAAGGGUUCAACUUUCAUCUGAUAUACUAGAUCUUGACAUGGCUUUAUUAAGCGAGAAAGUUCCGAAAGUUACUAUAGAAUUGCAGAGGAGCUGGUGGAAUAUUCAAAAGCCUGGAUAAGGUCGAACAGACUUAGUAUUAUGUUUAUGAGAAUGACUAUUGUUGUGAAUAUCAAGAUUUCUGUUCCUUAAAUUGACAUAAUCUCGAAUUUUCUAAAAUCCGUAGAGUUGCAUUUUAAACAUGCUAAUAAGUCUCUUAUUGGCCUUUUGAUGGCUGAAUUCAACAACAUUGAUGAAGUUGGUUCAGCAUGCAGCAAACUCGACAGCAUGCAGGCCAUGAAGACCAAGUCAUGCAGGAGCUGCUGAUGCAAGCUUAUUUUGUUUAUUUUGUAAUUUCUAGUCAAUGAAAUGUAAUCUUAGUUCAUUUCUAACUAAGUUAGAUUGUUGACUGAUGUAAUUAGCUUAUGUAUGAGCUGUAAACACAACUUUGUGUAAGUUUACAAGCCAAAAUUUCAAGUUUCCAUGUCAUUAGUGGAGGUAGGUGAUGUUUAGGUAAUUACUUACUGUUUUUGACAAGCUUAGUGCCUGUUUUAUGUAUUGGCAUUGUGCCAUUAUGCAUUUUUAUGAAUGAAGUUCAGUUUGUUCAUCAAUUUCUCUCUUCAUUUUUCAUAGCUUUUCUUCCUUUCUCUUGCUCGAAUUCUCUUGUUUGCUUAGCAAGUCUCGAGACUUGCUUAACAAGUCUGCACUGAAUCUGUUAAUUUCAGUUACAGCACCAACAAACAUGAUUGUCAUAAAGGAAUUCAACAACAUAUAUUGGACAUGAAUGAAAAAAUUGCAAAACUUAAAACUUUUAAGGGUGAAUGUGGAUAGAUUCUUUUUGGUGCUUUUCAUCCUUAAUUCACUUCCUCAGUUUUCUCCAUUCAAGAUUUAUUAUAACAUCAUUAGUGAGCAGCAGAACUUGAAUGAGAUGACUAGUAAGUACGUUUAGGAAUAAGUGAGAAUGCGGUGGAAUGAACAACAUUUAACUCUAGUUGCAACUUAUGGAGCUACGAAGAAAAAAAGAAAGAUAAAUGUACUAAAGGAAAUAACUGUCCGCUAAAGAAGGUAAGUGGAUGUGGAAAAGGUACCAGAGUUAUGAUGGGAAAUUUAUUGUCAAGUAAUAUUUCUGUGACAAAACAUUAAGACAUGUUAAGAAGGAUUGAUUUUAGAGACAUUACUCAUAUCCCCAAUCUAAUUUGGGGAUUCCUUACAACCAAUAAAUUGAAUGAAAGUGAGAAAUUCAUUUAUAUGGGAACCAUCCCAAGGUGGAAGUGAUAGUUGUUGACAUCUAUUCCUUACACUUUGUAUGUACUUUGGAUUUCUAGAAUUUUAGUUUCAAUUACUUUUUGGUUGUGAAAGAUUAAGUCUGAUGUUUAAUUCAAUAAUAGUUGGUUUUUGUGUUUUAUACGAUAGCUUAUAUAAAAUUUCUUUGAACCGUGCAUUUGCACAAGAUUAAGUAACCUUGCAUUCAAAUAUUGGUUCAAAAUUGGUUUAAUUAACGAACAUUCUUCACUCUUCUAGCAUAGAAGGUUCUCUAGGGAAAGAAUUGAAAGAUUAGUGAAUAAUGAAAUUUUGUAAAAUCUAGACUUUACUGUAUUUUUCAGUAUGCUUGAAUCGCAUUAAAAGAAAACAAACUAAACUAUAAAAAAAUAUUCACAAAAAGUAACGAGCUCAGAGGUAGCUAAAGGGGCUGACAGGUACCCGAUCCCCUAAAAUAAUUUUUUUUUCAUUUAGAAACCUUUAAAAUUUAUAAAUAUUUAAAUUAAUAAAUAUAAAAUUACACUUUGACUCUCUAAAAUAAUAAAGACUUGAUUAUUGACCAAUGUAUUAACGGUAUUUCGAAUGUUAAGAUGGUGUAUGUUUGUAGAGAUGAGAAUAGGUGAGUUGAUGCCCUUGCUACCAUCAGGCGGUGAGAAAUUCAUUGCUUGUUGUAUGGUGGUAGGAUAGUGCCCGUGCUUUGUAAUUAACUCUUCCUCCAAUAACAUUUUAUGAUUGAUUGAGCAAAUAGAGAUUGAGAAAUUUAAAGCUUCAAUCAUGUGACUUCAUCCUCUUGAAAUGGUAUGUCUCUAAAUCUCUACUUUAAUUUCUUAACAUGUGUUGAAUUUAAUGAUCUGUAUUUUCUGCAUUAAAGUAAUUGUUAUAAUUCAUACCACCACGAAAGACAUACAUAAAGGAGAAGGAAAUAAACAUACAUCUUAAUGAGUCGCGUAGAAGAACCCCACCCUGGAGGAAUAGUGCCAUUAAGAUAGUUUCGAGUUAGGUCACUGUAACAAUAGAUUUAAAACAACAAAUUAAUUAGUAGAUAUUUAGGUAAUUAAUUGAUGCAAAGUUAAUUAAUUGCUUACAUUUCUUGCAGAAAAGGGAGACUUGUCAAGUUUAGUGGGAGAGUACCCGAAAGGCCCUGUCCCUUGAGUAGUCUGAUAGAAAAACCAAGUUAGUUUCUUUUCUAUUUAAAAUUUACCCUAUAAUUUUCCCAAUUACUUAAGGAUGUCAUUUAUUAUUAAACCCACUAAAUUGUUUUUUUUUUUUGUAAUUUUAUACACUGAAAUUUAGGACAAAGUUAAAUUUGGUUCGAUUAUUUCUUUUUUAAUCAUGAUAACUCAAUUUGAUUUGAUCUAUAUUAAUUUUAAUUUUUAAAUUUUUAGAUUUUAUUUUAGGAAAAUGGAUUUUGUUUUAUAACUUUUGAGCCUUAUUUGGAAAAUUUUCAAAGUUUCUGCCAUAAAUGUUUCUAAAAUAUAUUUUUCAAGUAAAUAAAAAAUCAAUAAUUUAAUGGUAUGUUUUGAAAAAUAAAUUUUUAUAUAGUACUUUUAAGUUUUAAAAAAUAACAUACUUAUUUCUAAAUGAUAUAAUAUUAAAUUAAUUAGAAAUUAAAUAAAAUUUGAAUCUAAUUUAGAUAAGAGAAUAGAUUAUAUGAAACUAUUAAAAUAACAUUAAACUAUUGGAAAGAGAUACAAGCUUCAUCAUAUUUGUUUAGUUAAUAGGUACUUGUAUGCACCAAUUAGAAGUUAAACAAUUAUAAUAUGUAAAUUUAAAUUUCAAAAAGAAAAUAUUUAUCCAGAAUUUUAUAGUUAAAUUUAAAUGGAAACAUGUUUUUAUAUAUUAUUUUUAAUUAAAAUUAAAAUAAAAACAAAUUUUAAAAAGUUAAUUUGUAAAUAUAAUAAGAAGAGUCCAUAUAUGCCUUUAUAUCUUAUGUAAUACCAUUGUUUUCUAAGAUUCGGAUCAUAUCUUGUGGGUUGGACGUACAUGCAUGUCGGCUGGAAAGUGGAGUGAUGUUAAACGCUCUCUGUGCAUCAUCCACAACUUUUAUUAAACAAAUUAAUAAGUAUAAAAUUAAACUUCCAGUAAUCUUAUAUUUAAGUUGAUUAAUAUCUUCAUUUGUCAAAUAAUUUAACAUAUAUAUAAUAUGAAGUCUGAGGCAUCAUCUCAUAUUCAAAGUUAAAAUACUCUUCACUUUUUAAUAAUAAAUUUUAGAUUAAAUGCUUAUUAAAUCAUAUAUAAUUCAUAAAUAAAAUCUAACAAGUUUAGACGUAACUCAAGGGAGAUAAAAUUUUCAUUAUAAAAUAAUAUGUAUAUGUUUAUACUUACAUGUGAAUGACAUGACAGGUAGUAUAGUUGUUGAAGGAACAAUCGCAUAUAACAUUAUCAACAUAAGAUUCAUUAAACUCGGGUGAAGGUUGGUCCAACCGACCAUUGCCUUGAAUGCAUGUUCCAGUAAAGUUCCAGUUUGUCUUCCCUAAUGUUCUACCAAUACUUUCCAAAGCUUCCACUGUAACAACAAAAAUGAAAGUGUGGAAUUUACUAAAAGAAUUAAUUAACCAAAUUAAGCUUUGAAGCUUAAUAUUAUGGAUUACCUUCAGCAUUUGGAAGUGAAGCUUCGUUUGAAAGCGUUGUAAGGCAACAAACUAUGAAUAUUGACCCAAAAAAAAGUCGAAGAAACAACAUAUUGGAAUGUUUUUGGAGUGGAUUCAAGAGGGUUUUUUUUUUUUGGCUUGAUAUGAAUGAACAAAAAAUGGGUUGAAAGAUUGGGUUUCAUAAAUAUAUUGGAUUAUGAGAGUUGGAAUUUUCUUUGAGAUGAUUGAAAAUAAAAGAAAGUUGGAAGUUUCCUAUCUUUUUGCUCCGAAAUUGCAAAUUACUUUGAGAUGAAAGACAAAUAAAUGAAAGUUGGAAAUUUCUUGAGAUGAAGAAAGAAAAAGCAUGACGAAAAUGUGUGGCUGCCUGUGGAGAAUAAAAGAAAAAGAGACUCAAUGUUUUUGCAUGACCAUUCAAAUGAUACUUUAUCAUAAUGACAAGUUAAAAAAUAUCUUGCAUGGGAAGUUAUUAGUUGAGUAUAUUAAUUACAAUAUUAAUACAUAUAAUAUAUAUAGUCUAACUUUUUCUAUAAUAACCGUUAUAAUAGCAUUUCCUUAUAGCAAUCAAGUUUUUAGUAAAUAAAUUUGAUUUUUUAUAUUAUAUUUUAAUAAUUUAUAAUAACUUUUUACUUAUAAAAAUAAUAUCCAUAUUUAUUAAGUACAAUUUUUAUUAAAUUAUUUCUUUAUAACUACAUAUUGUCUAAAAAUUUAAGUAAAAUUAUAACUAUAUCAUAUCAGCAAGCCUAUUAAUUAUAAUUUUAUUAUUUUAAUAAAAUAUUUCAAUUUCAUAUGAAAAAUCUCUAAAAUUUUAAUCAUAUGUUAUUAAAUGAAAAUAAUCUUUAAUGAGUCAAUUCAAUAAAUUAUUGAGUUUUCUAAUUAAAUAUUCUACUAUAAAUUUGAAAUAUCAUACACUUAAUUGAUUACUUGAAUUUAAUAACUUAUGAUAAAUUAAUUAAUUCAAUGUAAUAACUCAUACUAAUCAGUUGAACUUCAUAAAUAAUCAUAUAUAAAAUGUAAAAUAAAAUAUACAUUAAAGUAAUAGUGCAUGCACCUACAAUAGUUUUUUUUUUUAAUUUUUAAUUUGAUUUUCAAUUUCUUUCUUUUUUUCAUAUAAUUCUCACUUUUCUUUUCUUUUAUUGAAAUUCAAUAUAUGAAUUCUUUUAUAGAUUUAUAGCAAUUAUAUUUCUAUAACAUAUUAUUAUAGGUAUAUAUAACAAUCGCCUCUAUAUAAUAGGCAAAAUAUUGGCAGAUAGAUAGAUAGAGCUAAUAUACAUAUACUAUUAUAGGUAUAUGUAUUAGUUCAUACAUCAAGCAUGUUGGUAUAGAUAUAUAACAAAUCACCUCUCUAUAAUAGGUAAAAUAUUGACAAACAGAUAGAGCUAUUAUAGUAGCUGUUGGUAUUGCCUCACACAUCGACACCACCACCCCUCAUUAUUACCCAACCAUUGAUUUAAAAAAAAUUUGAGGGCGGCAGUAGUAUGUAUUUUUCAAAAUACCUGUGAAAAAUAUGAGUAUUCAUGGUGAAAAAAAUUAUCUUUUUAAUAGAUUUCGCUGGUGUGUGAGGCGGCACCAGCCAAUUUUUUAAAGAAAAUAUUCUUAUUUUUAAAAAUACAUCAAAAGAAAAAAAUACAAAAAAAAAAAUAUAGGGCGAUCCAGUAGUACCACAUUAAUUUUUUAAAGGUUUUUUUUAGUAAUCUGAUCUUGUAAAUUUAAAAAUGAUAAAAGUAACCUAAUGUCAAGAUUAGUUAUAGAAAUGACCUGAUUUCUAUUUUUUUAAGCGACCAAAACAACUAUUUCUUUUUAUGUGGUUGAACAAAUUGAUGGCAUAGGAUUAAAACGUAGAGGAACAAAAUGUUGAAGAUUAUAGAAAUCAAGUCAUGCAUAUAAUUAAUCUUAAAAUUAGAUAUUUUCUUAAUCUUUUAAACUUACUGAUUUCGAAAAAGAGGCAUUUUUAAAAGAAUUGAUCUGUUCAUAAAAUAAAUGCUGCCUCCAAAGCUGACUUUUAGCACUACUGAUAUCUGGCUGGAUUUUUAAUUUUAAUUUUCUUAAAUAAUAAAGAUUGAGUUUUCGUAAAUACAUUGAACUAUGAGGGUUUGAAAUUUCUUAGAGAUGAUAGAAUAUGAAAAAGGUUGAUUGUUGCAUCGCAAAUUUAUGUGAUUGGAUGUUUUUCAAUUUGGAACACUUGAUUGUGUUGGCAAAUUGUUAAAUAAAAUUUGCAUGAAAUGAAUUAAAAAGAUCAAAUCAUUUACCAUUAAUUUUAAACAAAAGAUUUUAUUUGUUGAGUUAUAAAAUUUUUAAAUUUAUUAAUUUUAUUAAAAAUCAAAUUUUAGUUCAAAUAACAUUAUAAAAUUUGGGUGAGAUUAUAUAUAAAAAUAAAUAUUAUAUAAAAAUUAGUAAAAUUUAAUUCUGUAUUUAUAAUAAAAAGCCCCAAACAAUGAGCUGACAACUUUAUAGCAGGAAGACUAAUCCUAGAUAAGGACAGGUGUCAAUAAUUUAGCAAUUUGGUACAUUCUGUGAACCACAUUCGGUUUCUUAAAUAUUCCAUCAAUCGAAUUUCUCUCUUAUUUCUCUUUUUUAUCUAUCUUUUUUUAAAAAAAAAUUAAAUGUCCUCAUAACCCCAAUCAAAUUUUAUUAAGGAUAAUUAUAAUUAUCGAAAAAAAUUCUCUCUUAUUUCUCUUUUUUAUCUAGAAUAAUUAUAAUUUUAUUAUAUUUACAGAGACAGUAUAGAACUAUAAUUAUAAAAUCUUUCAAAAAUUACUAUAAAUAUAGUUAAUAUGUUAGACAUUAUUUGAAUAAAAAAUUAUUUUUUUGAAAAAUAAAUAAAAUUUAUUUUCAGUUAAAAACAGUUUUUACAAAAAUACUUUUUGGUAAAAAAAACUUUUUGGAUUAGUUCAUAGAGGCCUUUCUAUUUUUGGUAUUGCAAGGGAAUAAAAGAAAAUAAUAAAUAAGGAUGGAUUAUAAAGCAAUUUACUUUAUUUAAAAUUUGGUGCUGCCAGCACCCUAAAAGUUUUUUUCAAUACCCAAUUCAAAUGAAAAUUUUACAUAUUAUAUAUCUGAAUAUUUUAAGUUAUCACAUUUUAAUCUGGUGCCAUUAACAUGUCAGGCAGUAGCAACAAAACACGGUAACAAACAUACAUUUGAGGAAUUAAAGAUUUUUAUUAUUAUUUAAAAUAUAAGUUAAUAUUUGAUAUAUUAUAAAAAUUAUAUAAUACCGUAAAAAAAUUCAAAUUUUGUCAAGUGCCAUUUUCUUAUUUAAUAUUUUUGUAUAUAUUUUUACUCGAAAAACUUAGAAUUUAUAUAUCUAUAUAGAAUGAAGGUCCAAAACACUUCCUUUUACUCAAACCUGAUCAACCACCCAUGCUUUGGUUAAGUUUAGUUUUGAUACCUUUAAUAUAUCUAAAUUUAAUAUUUAAUUUAUAAUAUAAUUCCAUUCAUCUAUUUUUAAAAUAUUAUUAAUUCAUUAUUUGAAUACAUUAAAAGUCUUAAAAGACUUGAGAACAAGUCAAUCAUUUCCUAGAAAUCAAGCUUACUCCUAGCAAGCCAUAAUCACCACAAAGUGGGGCUAUUUUAUCCAUUUAACCCAAAAAAACAAUAUUUAUAAAAAUGAAUCUGGUUCAAAAAUAUUCACUAAAAUGACUUGAAAUGAACAGUAAAUUUGAGUUAUGAGAACUUAAUGGCCGACAUCCUAUUGUAUUUUGACCCUAUGAUUGCUUGAUGAUUGUGUUAGGCUUUAAUUUUUUUUUUUGGGGGAUAUCAAUGGCCAGCAUCAAGGAAUUUUUUUAAAAUCGUAUCAUACUGGUAUACUCAAAAACCAGUAUUUGAAAACAAAAAUUUGGGACCUGGCCAUCUAAUGGCCGGCACCAAAGUACAAUAAUUUUUUUUUGUGUUCUGACCAAUAGAUAGCUGGCACUAAUACUUUUUUUCAAUUCUCAAAUUUUUUUUUGUUUUGGAACACUGAUGAUCGACACCACCUUUUUCAGGUCUCAUUUUUUUUUUGGUACACUAAUGGCCAGCACCAACUUUAUCAAAUUAAAAAUAUUUUUUUUGUUUUGAGACACUGAUGACCAGCACCAACCUAAUAUACAUAUACCCAAUAGAUUUUGAGCCUUGAGCACUCUGAUACAAAACAAAGUUUACGUUAGGGUGCUAAAAUCUAUAAUGAAAAACUGAGAAUUUUUAAGUAACAAUAUGAUCUUUUUAACCUUGAUUAAAAUUGUAUAAUAUGCACCGUUUAGUAGUGUAUAUAAAUUAUUAUUUUUCAAGGGUCAAGUUAAUUACGUAAAAAUAAUUUGAUGUUGUCUAAGUAAAUUCUUGGGUUGAAGUGUUUUGGAUAAAUUAGCAUUAGUAGGGUGUCUAUUGCUUAAAAGUAUAAUGUGACUCAACUUUGGAUAUAAUUAAUACUCAAUGUAUUUAGAAGUAAGAUUGAGGUUAAAAUUUAUUGAUAAAAUCUUAACUUAAUUUGUAUGGGCAUUAUUGCUAAUACAAAAAAAUCUGGGCUCAAGUGCGGUGAAGCAUAUUAUCCUCUUAUAGGUUAUAGGUAAGUUUAGAUAUGAUAGAGUUAAAAAUUUUAAGGUAAAAAGGUGAAGCUUCUUUUAAAAGAGAAAAACCAUUAAAAGCCUUUUUUUCGAUUAAAAAUUUUAAAUUGAAUGUUUUAUUUCAUACGAAAUAUUAAAAAGUAAUAUUCUCAUUUAAUUAAACAAUUAUUAUAUGUAAAUUUCAAAUUAAACUACUAAAAGAAUAUUUAUGCUAAAAAAACCUUAUCAAAAUGAUACAAAUCGUAAAAUAUACACGAAACUUUUAAAAAAAAUUAAUAAAAAAAGUUUAAUUACAAUUCAAAAAGCAUCAAAUUCUAUUCUCACGCAAUAUUUUUAGUUAAAGAUAAUGUUAAAAUUAAAAUAAAUUUUAAACAAUAAAUAACCCCAUAAAAAAAUACGUAGAGAUGAAAUUAUAAACAUACUUUUUUUUAUAUCUAAAUCUUACUUUAGUAUAUAUAUAUAAUAUGAGUAAUUUAUAUAAAAUUUUAUACAUUUUAAAACUUAAUUCAAAAUAUUUAAUUCAAAAUAUAAAUAUAAUUACUUUCCGUAUUUUUUAAUCAUAAAUAGUAUUAACAAAAAUAAUAUAUUUAACUAAAUUAUAAAUAUAUUUAAAAAACACGUGGCAUUUAUAUAUAUAACAUAUAUAUUAUUUAACAACAAAGUAAAUGGAUAUUAAAGUAAAAGGCUUCGAUUCCCUUGAAUACUCAGUAAAGUCCUUACCAGAAAAACGUAGAUAAUAACAUUCAACUAGCAAUCUAGAAUUAACACAUAUGUUUUAAUUAAGUUUUUAAUUUUCGUUAUUUAGAAUUUUUAUGUAUACAGACUACUUUCUUUUUAAUAAUUAUAUUCUAUAAUAAUAUUUUAUUAUAACAAUUAAGUUUAUUGUAGAAUCUAUUUUUUAUGUUUUAUUAUUUUUUUAUAAUAUUUUUUUAUAAUAAUAACCAUAAAAUAAAAACUACACUAUUUACUAAUUUAUUUUUUUGUAACUUCUUAGAAUUAGUUAAAUAAAAAUAAUAAAAUUUAGUUAAGAUGUUGUUUGAAUAAAUUUCUAAAAUUUUAUAUAAAAUAUAUUAUCCAGAUUUUAUUAAGCAAAAAAAAUUUUAAGAAAUGAAAUUACAUUAAUAAACUAUUCAUUAAUGUUUGUAAUUACGAUUUUCUUAGUUAGUUUAGAUAUUUGUCAGUUCAUUAUCGAUAUUCAAACUAUACUUUUUCAUAGUAUUUUAAAGAUACUAUUUUUAAAGUUUUAUAUAAAAAUAUAUUAAUAAGAUUUAUUAAAUUAAAAUAAUUUUUAAUAAAUGAAAUUACAUAAUAUAAAUGUCACUGCUUCAUUUUAUUAAUAUAUUAUAGUUUUUAAUUUGAAAUUUAAAAAUUCAAAUAUGAUUUGAAUCUCAAAUAUUAUUAAGGUAUUUCAGAAAUUGUUAGAUGCGGAUAAUUACCAACUUUAUAUACAAUCCAAAGUUUUUGGUAAAUAAUUAUUAUUGUUAUAGAAUAAAUUGACUGCAUAAUAUCAUAUCUUAAACAUGAUAAUUAUGUGCCUAUGUAAUAAGGUACCUUCAAUUGAUAUCAUCUCAUAUUUGUUAAAACUUGAAUUGCAUAUGCCUCUCUUGAUAAAUUUAGAUCAUAUGAUUAAAAAAACCAUAUAAUCCAUAAACUAGUCUAACAAGUUUGUACAUAAUACAAUGGUGCAUAAAUUUUCUUUUUAAGAAAUAUAUAUAUACUUACAUUUGGACGAGUACAUGAUAAAUAGUGUUAUUGUUGAAGGAGCAAUCACAUACAACAUUAUUAGCAUAAUAGCCAACCAUGGCGUUGACUGCAUGGAUCAAUACCAAAGUCCCACCCUGUCUUCCCCAAUGUUUUACCAAUGCUUUUCAAAGCUUCCACCGUAACAAAAAACCAAUAAGAGAAAUUUACUAGAAAAAUUCACCAAAUUAAGGUUGGAAGCUUAAUAUUAUGAGUUACCUUCGUCAUUGUAGCUCCAUCUGUAAGCGUUGUAAGGCAACAAACUAUGAAUAUUGACCCCAAAACAUGUCGAAGAAACAACAUAUUAAAGGAAUAUAUAUAUUUUUGGAUUGAUACGAAACUGGGUUUUCAUAAAUAUAUUGGACUAUGAGAGUUGGAAUUUGACUAUAUAUGAAAGUUGGGAAAAGGAAUUUCUAAAAGGAAGUUGGAAAUUUCUUUUAGAUGAAAAAUGAAAAGCAAGAUGAAAAUGAUUUGGCUGCCUACGGAAAAUAAAUGAAAAGGGAGAGGUAAAGUGAACACUAAAACAAAGGUUCAAUUAUUGUACUGUGAUUGGGUGUUUUCGUACGACUUUGCAAAUGAUAUUACCCAUCGGAAUUUAAUGAAAUGGGGAUGGUUCACUACAGCAAAUUAAACCUUUAUUGUUAAGUAGAUUAAUUUUAAAAUAGGAAUAUAUUUUUAUUUUUAUUUACAAUUUCAUUUUAAAUAAAAUAUUAUGGACUGAUCCAAGACUAAUUUAAUAAUUAAAAAUUAAUUAAUUAUAGUGCAUAAUUUAAUUCCAGCGACUCAAGUAGAAGAAUAGGGAUAGGGAUAGGGACCUUUGACAGAAAGCUAGUUCAGACAAAUGACUUGAGUGACGACUUUAUAGCAGGAAGACAAUUGUUAUAAGGACAUGUGCAAUUAAUUUAACAAUUUGGUAGGGUAUCAAAUUAAAUCAAAUGAAUAUUUUAUAAUUUUAUAAAGUUUAUUUUUUUAUUUUUACUUAAAUUAAAAUUUUUGAAUCAUAUUAAAUUAAGUAAAAUAAAAUUCGAAUGCAAUUAAAUAAAUUUAUUUGAAUUAAAUUAAAAAAAUUAAACUAGUCAUAGGUAAUUUAACUAAAAUUCAAGUUAAACAACAUAAAAUAUAUAUUUUUACUUUAUCAUCUAUAUACUUAUAUAUAUAUAAAAGGACGACGACACAUGGACACACACUCAUGCUCCAUUUUUCUUUUUCAUUUUACAAUAUAGUAACUCUAAUAUGUCUAAAUUCGAAAUAUUUUAAUUUUUAAUAUAAUUUGAUCUUUAUAUUUUUAAAUUAGUCUAAAUAGUCAAUGUAAUUAAUUUUUCUUGUGUUGUAGUAGCCAUCAUGAAAAUAAUGAAACUUUAAAAUUGUCAGUGCAAAACUUCGUUGAGAAAAAUCUCAAACAGACAAAUAGAACGCAUGGGCACCUUCGUCUGGAGUUCUUCCACGUGGGGUUCCUAUGGGAGAUGAUGCACCUAAUGAAGGAUUUGGUGAUUCAGAUGAACAUAGUAACGAGAAUAAAUGUAUUCCUCCUGAUGAGGUACCAUCAAACCCUUCUCAUGAAAUUCCUAAUCGAAGAAAGCAAACACUUGGGGCUGUAUACGGUAAAGGAAAAAAUCAAGUUCAAGUAGAAAAUCAUCAAGAAAUUCAUUAACUACUCAGAUUGAGAAAUUGUGUGAGAGUAUGGCUAGUCCAAGGAAGUCAGUGAAUGAAAUUAUUUUUCCUCACUCUCAAUAUACCAUUUCAAAUGCAAUGGAUGCUUUGCGUGCUUUGGGAGAUGAAAUUCCAAAAAAAGAUGAACUGUACUAUUUUGCCACCAAAAUGUUCCAAAUACCGGUGAAACAAGAAGUGUUUUUGAACUUAGAUCCAGAUGAUAGGGUUUGGUGGCUUCGACGUGAGUAUGCUGAACAAAAUCCAAUUGCAUUAUUUUCAUCCUUGGUAGCAACAUCCUCAUUUCCCUUCCAACCAUACUAUCAACUACCUCCACCAUAAGCUCCUUAGAAUUAUUAUUAUAAUAUAACUAUACUACUUUUUUAUAUGUAAAACUAAUGUAUGAUCCUUUUUAUGUUUUGUAUUUUUAUACUAUGCUUUUAAUUAAGUUUCUGUGUUGUAUAGAAUGUCACGAGAUUUAAAGAAUUUAUUUUCAUUUGAUUACUUUUUUAAGUUAUGGAUGAAUUUAACAAUAUGUAUAAUAGUUUUGAUAUGAAUUAUGAUACCCCUGAAUUAAGUGAAGAAGCUCAACGAAGAAUAGCCGCAAUUGUUACCCAAGUUGAGAACAACAAUUAUCAUGAAGAGGAAUAAUAUGUGUUAAGCAAUGUAUUGGUACACCAUGAAACUUAUUUCACUAUGCAUGUAACAGCUCGAUUUUGGGCCUAGUUGAAAUAGUGGUUUCGGGAUCACAAAUUCCAUGAGGAAAAUUUUUAUUUUUAUUAUAUUUUUAUGGUCUAAAAUUUUACGGAAUAAUUUUUUGAAAAUUUCGUUCAAAAAUUUCGACGUUUGGGCACUCAAUUUAGCCAAAAGGACUAAAUUGUAAAAAGUGCUAAAGUUGAGUUCUAUAUGUUAGGAGUGUCUAAUUAUUAUGAAAUUUUAAAUUGGAGGUUCUUAAAUGGUAAUUAGACCAUUGGUUAUCUUAUGGACAAAAAUGGACAUGAAAUAGGUGAAAUAAGAUAUUUUUGAGUUAAGGGUAUUUUGGUAAUUUGGUAAUUAAAACAUAUUAAAAAGACAAAAUAAGCCAAAUUUUCAUCAUCUUCUCCAUGGGGCUGGACGAAUGUGAUAUGAACUCCAUGGCUAGGGUUUGCUCAUCUUCCAAGCUUCAUGGUAAGUCUGUUCUAGCCCCGUUUUUUUUUUCUUUAUAUUUUUAGAAUCUCGGUAACUAGCUUAAGCUACUUUUACCAUUAAUUUGAGCUAGAAUUUAUGUUUGGAAAAUUACCCAUAGAUGAAAAGCGUGAAAUUUUGAUGUUUUAUGAUGGAAUAUGAAGCUUAGAAUUGUGUUAUACGAUUUUCGCUAAGCGAUUUUCAGUGAAACCGAGUAAAUUGACAUAAUCUAUAAUAAUACUAAAUGUUCAUAAGUGCACUAUAGAGCAAGAAUUUGGGGUAGUCAUUGGAGGAAAAAAUGUUUAGCAUGUCAUAAAACAUAAAAAAAAGAAUAAAGUUUAAUUUCCGAGCCUAGGGGUAAAAUCGUAAUUUUGUGAAACUUUAGGGGCAAAAAUGUAAUUGUUUCAAAAUAUGAUUUUUGGACUGGAUUGAAUAAUGUGAGUGUUAAAUAUGUUAUUAUAAGUUAAGAAAGACAUGAAAUUGACCUUGAUUAGUAAAAAAAUGAGAUAAAGUGAGAAAUUUUCCGAUUGAAUAUUCGAAAUAAAAAGGGAUAUGAAUGAAGUGACAGAAAUGCUUACACAUGUGGCACGGACUGUGUGUAGGCCACUAUAUGAAAGUGAAAGUGAUGGUCUCGUGUGUAGUACUAUGUGUAGGCUACUACGUGUACUGGAACGAAAGGUCACAUGUGUAGUACUAAGUGAAGGCUACAAUGUGUACCGAGAAGCUUUGGUCACGUGUGUAGUACUGUGUAAAGGCUACUACGUGAAUCGGUAAAUAAUGGUCACAUGCGUAGUACUAAGUGAAGGCUACAAUAUGUACCGAGAAACUUUGGUCACGCGUGUAGUACUUUGUGAAGGCUACUACGUGAAUUGAUAAAUGAUGGUCACAUGUGUAGUACUAAGUGAAGGCUACUAUGUGUACCGAAAAGCUUUAGUCACGUAUGUAGUUUUAUGUGAAGGCUACUACGUGAACCGUAAAACUUGAUCACGUGUGUAGUACUAUGUGAAGGCUACUACGUGAACCGUAAAAAUUGAUCACGUAUGUAGUACUAUGUGAAGGCUACUACGUGUAUCGAAUGAUAAUAGUAACAUGGGUGGUACUAUGUGAAAACCCCCAAAUAUUUGUUGUUAUACUGACAUGUUUAACAAGAUAUGAGUAUGAAUGAUAGUUGCGAAAGAGUGACUGAAGUGAUGAAGUCUUGCAUUGUGUUAUAAAAUGAAUGGUUAUAGUGCCAUGUGAAUGAGAGAUGUUGGAAUAGAAUAGAUUUGGACAGUGACGGUGAUGUUAGUUUGAAAAAUCACCAAAAAUUGUAGAAAUUGAGUUAGUGAUUGAAUGAAAUAUUGAAUUAAAGCUUAUUGAGUCUACUUUCAUAUAAAAUAAACAGAGCAAGCAAAAGAGUUGUAUAUUUGGAGAUAUUUGAAUUUUAGUCAGACAGGGUUGGAAUGAUUUCGAAAUCCCCUGUUCUGACUUUGUAAAAUCACUAAAAAUUGUAAAAGAAUAAUUAUGAGUUAUAAUUUAUAUGCUUAGAAUCCUUGAUGAGUCUAUUUUCAAAUGAAAUAAACUAAAUUAUCAUCAAAAUUCUGUACAGUGAGAUAAUUCAUUUUUAGUGAAGAAAGGUCAGAAAUGUCAAGCAGUGAAAUAGGGGAACCUUUAGAGAAUAAACUAUACUAAUUGGAUGAACCAAAAAUUCUGAAAAUUUUAUGGUAAGAAGAUAUGUGAGUCUAGUUUUGGGGAAAAUUUACGUAACUUAAUUUGGAGCUUCUUAGCUCUGGAUAAAAAUAAUUUAGUGACUGUAACUCGACUAGACAGUUUUGAAUUUAAAUAUAAGUUAAUAGUGAAAUUAUGUAUAAUGCCAUUUAAGUGUGUUAUAAGUAUCAAGGAUGUGGAAUGGAGAGGAGGAGGAGGGCAUUAAAUUAUAUGAAUGAAUUGUGUAUAAUUUGUUAUAAAUAUGAAUGCUUGAUAAAAUGGAAUGGAAUGGUAUGACAUGGAAUAGUAUGGAAUGGAAUAUAUAUAUAUAUAUAGAUAUGAAUGACUUGUGUGUGAAUGGGUCAUAUGCUCGAUCAUAAUUGAUGAACGUUGAGUUCCAUGGUAAAUGCGUAUUAGUACUAAACUAAAUGAUAAUGGAUUAUAUGUGAAUUAAAUGGAAACUUCCAUUGCUAGUGAUAUGAUUUGAAUUAAAACAACUAUUGUGGUACAGAGAAGUAUAAUGGAUUGAGAAAUUGAUUUGAAUUGUGAACGGAGAAAUUGCGAAUUGAAUGAAAUGGAAAUGAAGCAUUGAAUUACAUGAGUAAGUAUCGAGUCUCGUAGGCUCUAUUUAUUAUGAAUAUAAUAUUUCAAUGAUAUGUUAUAAAGAAUUAUAAAAGCACGUUAGUAAUUUAAAAAUUUUAAAUUCGGAUAAAAUCUUGUAACUCAGUUUAAAUACGUAUACAAGUGUAUGUGUUCUAGUAAUGCCUCGUACCCUAUUCCGGCGUUGAAUAGGGUUUGGGGUGUUACAAUGCAACCGCGUAUGGAUUCAAAUUAUACAGGUCAAAUGUGGGUGGACGAAGUAUUAAAUGGGCAUGAUGAUCGUUGCAUGAAUAGUUUUAGGAUGCCAAAAGAUAUAUUUCACAUCUUGUUGCAUGAUUUGCAAACAAAUUAUGGAUUAAAGAAUGGGAAAGUAUCGGCGAUGGAGAAGUUAGCAUUAUCAUUAUACAUUCUUGAAAAUAGAGAAUCAAAUUCAAAUGCAACAGAGCGAUUUCAACGAUCUGGGGAAACUGUUAGUCGAAUUUUUACUGAUAUGUUGCAUAUAUUUGCUCGAAUGGGAAUAGACACGAUUAAACCCACUGAAGGUCAAUUCGAGGAAGUACCGAACCAUAUUCGACAUGUUACAAAAUAUUGGCCUCACUUUAAGGUAAUAUUUACACAAUUUUUAUAUUUUUAAAAUAUAAAUUAUUUCUAACUUUUAUCUUAUUACUUGUAUUUAUUUUAAAGGAUUGUAUUGGGGUCAUAGAUGGAACACACAUAAAAGCAUGCAUUUCGCCUUCUUGUCAAAUACCUUAUAUCGGACGGAAAGGUGAACCAACUCAAAAUAUUAUGGCAGUUUGUGACUUCAACAUGUGCUUUAUUUUUGCAUUUCUUGGUUGGGAAGGAAUAGCACAUGAUAGUAGAAUUUUUUUGCAAGCACUUAGAAAAUAAGAGUUGAAGUUUCCACACCCUCCACCAGGUUGAACUUUAAUUUUUAAUUACUUUUUACAUAAAAAUAUUAAAAUAUUAAAAUUAUUUUUAAAUUUGAUAUUAUGUUUUGCUUUUUUGUAGGAAAAUAUUAUAUUGUGGAUCCAGGAUAUCCACAAAUGGCAUGUUUUCUAGGUCUAUAUAAGGAGAACGAUAUCAUUUACCUGAUUUUCGUCGAAGUAAUCAUCAAGUAUUUGGAAAAAAAAAAUCUUUAAUCAUGCCCAUUCUUCGUUAUGCUCUGUGAUUGAUCGAACAUUUGGAGUGUGAAAAAAAAUGACCAAUAUUAAGAGAUAUUCUAAGUUAUUCAUUCAACAAGCAAGUUUUAAUAGUUAUUGCAACAAUGGUUUUGCAUAAUUACAUUCAAAGACAUGCUUGGUCAAAUGAUGAGAAUUUUCGAGAAUUUAAGAAUAUACCCGACAUGCAAGUCUCUUCAAGCCAGUUUGACAGAGGUGAAUCGAGUUCUUCUCACAGAGAAAGUGACCUUGAAAUCACGAUGUUAAGAGAAACCAUUGCAACUAGUUUAAUGAAUCCAUAUUUGUAAAAAUAUUUUGUAUCAUAACCUAAUUUCUAGUAAUAAUGAAACUUGUUAUGUCUUAUGUUAUUAUAUUUUUUUAUUAAAAAUCAUCCGUUUAGAUACUUCAAAAUUUUAUCCAAGUAUAAUGUUACUAUUUGUGAAAAUAAUAUUUAUCAUUGUUAUAAAAAAUAUUUAACUAUAAAAAAUUAAAAAUAAUUAUCAUUUUAUCUAAUAAAUAAUUUAAAUUAAUUAUAUAAUUUGUUUUGAAUAUUAAAUUAAUUAUAUAACUCAUUAAAAUAUUGAAAGAUGCAUUUUAAUAUUUUAUUAAAUGAAUUUAUAAAUUCACAUAUUUUAAUAAUUUUAAAAAAGUAAAAUAAUUUAAAAAUAUAUGAAUUCUAAUAUGAUGUCUUUAAUAGUCAUUUUUUAUUCUCACAUCACCGCUACAGCUGCGUUUGAAUCCAAACACACACUCCACAAUUGUUUCUAAUCUCACCGCUACAGUAUCCAAUCUCACCGCUACAGUAACUAAUCUCACCGCCACCGCUGUUUUUAACCUCACCGGAGGUAAACACACUACCCAUCCAAACUAGCCCUUAGUCAGAUUUGAACUAAGUAGGUAACAUAUUUGAUGUAAUUAGGUGAAGCUUGAGCUGAUAAAUCAGCUUUGCAAAGUGUACAAGUUAUGUUUAACACGUUUCAAUGUAGUUUAGUGAAGUUAGGUAAAUGUUUCGGCGACAUUUGCUUAUUUUUUACCAGCUUGUGUCUGGUAUAUGUACUGGCAUUAAGCAUUCUUUCAAUUUUAAUGAAAAUUCAUCAGAAUUCUUCAUCUAAUGCUCUCUUAAUUCUUUGCUUUCUUUAGUUCUUCAAGGCCGAUUUUGUUUUUGUUUGCACAGCAAGUAUCAAGCCUUCAAGCUCAAGAAACUACUUGUUUCAUUCAUCUUUGUUCUUAGUUCGACCAGAGUGGACUUGAUGAAGAUAAUAUGUUAUAGGAAGAGUUUCUUUGGUCAGUCGAGCUAAACAAUCACGUAGUCUAAAAUUUCUUAUUUGAGACUUGUUAGCAUAUGUAUGAAAAGCAUCCCAUACAAUCUUUGUAUUAGUGGCAGCAACAAUUAUGGUAGCAAUAAUAGGAUCAACACAUGUCAGAAUGACAUUUUCAAUCAAUUGAUCUUGACGAAACCAAGAUAUAUGUGCUAGGUUUUCAUGGUAUUGGUGUUUUAUGGGAUAAUACAAGUGGGUUCAGGUAUAGUGCCAUCUAGAUGACCAUAAAGGUUAUGACCAUGCAUAAACAUUGAUGCUUGGGCCUUCCAAAGGGAGAAAUUAUGGCUACUCACCAGCUUGAUGGGUAGUUGGGUUAGAGGAUUAACUUGACCAACUGUGAUAUUGUUUAUAGCGUAACGAGGGAAAAGAAAAAAGGGAAAAAAAAGCUCCUUUGAGCUUUUUAGGCUCUGUUCACCAGUAAAAUGUAUUGGAGUAAUGAAAAAGUGAAUGGGUUUAUUGAGAUCUAGGUAACUAUUUAUAGAGUUACAUAACUCAUGAAACCAUAAAGAAAAGAUAAAGAAAAUUUAAAAAAUGACAUUAAAUUUGAAAUGAAAAAUAACAUAAGGAAAUUAAAAAAAAAGAUAACAAGAUCAAAAUAGAAUAAUUAUUUGUUAAAUGGUGGCAACACAGCAGCAGCAUGCAAGAUACCAAGCAUUGCAACACAGCUGUAACAUGCAAGUAACCAAGCAUUUCAUUAGCUGCAUGCUAAUGUCCAUGGUGUAACUCGGUUGAAAAGCUUUUGUAUUAGUUGACUCUCUCUUUUACAAGUUGGUUGUAAUCAUUUUUUGUUCAGCUAAAGUUUAAUCAUGUACUUAGUUUUCAGUAGUCAUUUAGGUUGUCAUUAAGCUGAUUUAACAGCUUGGACUCUUGCACAAGCAAGCUUUGUUUUUUACCAAUGUAAUUUAAACUACUUAUGUCUAGGUUUGUUAAUUAUUAAUGUAAUGAAGUUAUCUUUGCUCUCCAUCAUCCAGCAUCUGUUUUUGCUUCUGUUUUCCAUCUUUCAAACACAAAAACUUUAUUUUGAUCCUUGUUAUUAAUUGAAAACUCAACAUUAUUGUUGUGACUAAGUCAAUGGUGGUUAUUGCAGUUUGAUAAUGAGAGAAAAGAGGUAUACAAAUAUCGAAAUUCCACCGUCAAAUUUAUUGGACAAAAGGGCUAAUUAAGCCUUGGGUUAAAAGGAGUACUAAACUUCUGGGAGGGGGAGGGGAAUUAUACGUUGUCUGAUUCUCUAUGAACUUAUUCCAGCAGCAAAAUGGUGAUAGAAAAUUGUUUCUAGUUUGUGGAAUCUCUAUUCUGCCAAUACCCAGAAGUCAAACUAACUGGAUAGAGAUCAGCAGCAGAUGUUGAAGAAGUGGUCCAUGGCGCAUCACCUAACAUACUCUUUGUCUGGCUAAUAUCUGCAUCAUCAUCAUCUUCAAGUUUCCUAUGCAGCUUUUUCAUAGUUUCAACAUUCUUUUGACGACUUGAAGAGGACAUUGAAUCUGUGCAGUAUUCCUGAACUUCGGCCUUGCCUUCAAGCAUGCUCACCACUGAAGACAUUGGAGGUCUAGCUGAAGCAGUGGGAUUUGUGCAUAAUAGAGCAACAUUUAUCAUUGUCAUCACCUCGUUUUUGUCGCAAUCCGAGCCAAUCCUUGUAUCGACAAAUUCCAACAAGUUCCCAUUCUCCUUCAAAACAAGAGC